UACAGAGGGCGCGAGCGUUGUCCGGAAUCACUGGGCGUAAAGGGCGCGUAGGUGGCGGCGUAAGGCCGCGGUGAAAGUUCGGGGCUCAACCCUGAAUCGGCCGCGGCGACUGCGUCGCUUGGGCACGGUAGAGGCAGAUGGAAUUCCGGGUGUAGCGGUGGAAUGCGUAGAGAUCCGGAGGAACACCGAAGGCGAAGGCAGUCUCCUGGCAAGUUCCUGACGCUCAGGUGUGAAAGCUAGGGGAGCGAACAGG
rnacentral:rRNA from 1 species